UCAUAUGACUGUCUGGCUGAAGUAAAUAACAACUGGCACUCUGAAUUUAAAGAUGCAGACAGACUAUGCCCCACCUUCUCCCCCCUCCCACCCCUGUGAGGGGUGUGCCACAGUCACCACAGGAGUCAAUCAGGAGCUUGCUGUUCGCUAGUUGGCUUGUGUGCAUUCUAGUUUCCAACUGUGAUCAUACUUCAAGAGUGCUACAUUGGCAGUAAAGUGCGUUGUGAUGGCCCAAAUUCUUGGAAGGCACAGUAAAAGCAAGUUGGAUACAUAAGAGACUGCAGAUGUUGGAAUUUGGAGCAAAACAGGGCACAAUACAUGAAUGUGGGUUCAAUCAUCAAUCAAAGAAAAUAGAACUUGCAUUUACAACAUCUUGCACAUCUCUGAAUAUUAUCCAACCAAUCAGGUAUUUUUGAACUACAGUUAUGGGUGCAAUUUAGACAAACAUAUCAAGAAAUCUGUGCUUUGUAAAAUUCCACAAACUGUACAUAAGCUGAGGAACAGAUUGUGAUUUUGUGGACCCCUUGUGGAGGAAUAUUGUCCUAGGACUGUGGGAGUUCCGAGAUAAUGUUAAACCCCAGCCAACAUUUUGUCAGAACGUUUUUCAAAUGUCUGGAGUAGCUGUAAUAAACUGACCUGCCAAAAUCAAAAUAUUGCAGACGCUAGAAAUCUGACAUAAAAACUGAAAUUGCUAGAAAUCCUCAGUAUCUAUGGGGAGAGAAAGAGUUAACUUUUGAACCUGAACCAUUAACUCUAUUCCUCUGUCCAUUGAUAAUCUUAGUCCUGCUGAGUAUUUCUAGCGUUUUUGGUUUUUUUAAACUGAGUUUUGGGCAUUUGCAUGUGCUGAUUAUGAUAAUAGAUUCAGCACGGAAACAGGCCCCUGUACCCCACGCUGCCCAUCAUUCACUUGUUCACACCCAUCUGUGAAGAGGUGGUGAAGGGGCUGUUACAGAAUAGUUGAUCGUGGGACAUGCUCUGUCUGAUGAUUGUAGCCGAGUUAUUCAGUGGUCCGCCUAAUGUGUCCUUAGCUGCUCCACAUCUUGAGGGGUGGAGCACAGACAGAUUUCAGUGCGAGUCCUGGAUGGUAGGUCCAGGUUAGCAUUAUUUUUAGAGAUACAGCACAGAAACUGGAAUUUCGGCCCACCUAGUCCAUGCCAUCCAUCAUUCACCAGUUCACACUAAUUCUGUGUUAUCCCACUUUCACAUCCACUCCCUACACACUCGGAACAAUUUACAGAGGCCAAUUGACCUACAUUUUGCAUGUUUUUGGGGCAUUGGUGGAAACUGGAGAACUGGAGGAAAUCCACGCUGUCAUAGGAUGAAUGUACAAACUCCAAACAGACAGCACCCGAGGUCAGGAUCGAUCACGCGUCUCUGGUGCUACGAGGCAGCAGCUUUACCAGCUGCACCACCGUGCAUUGUCUGAGCUACUACAAUAGCUUUCCAUUCACAUUUUAUCAUACUCUUACUCAGUGUGAACACCUUCCAUUUUCUCUUUUGGUUUUUGUUCUUCUUUAGCUUUGAUUGUUUUCUGCAGAACUCGUUUUUAGCAACUGACUGCUCCGCAAUUAGUAUCUUUUGAGCCCCUGAGUUGAGCCCCUAAAGCCUCAAGGUUCAUGAACACACACUUGUCAGCUGGUAUUUACUGAGAUCUUUAUUAUACUUUCAUUACACAUAGUCUUCUGCAGACUUUAUAUAAAUAAACCUAAAAACAUUAAAUGUUAGAAAUAGUUAUACUCAUUAGUGGACUGUAACAAGCGCUAGCAAAAUGAAAAGUUUGAAAUCUAUGGGUAUU